rnacentral:rRNA from 1 species
CCUACGGGUGGCAGCAGUGAGGAAUAUUGGUCAAUGGGCGCGAGCCUGAACCAGCCAAGUAGCGUGAAGGAUGACUGCCCUACGGGUUGUAAACUUCUUUUAUAAAGGAAUAAAGUGAGGCACGUGUGCCGCUUUGCAUGUACCUUAUGAAUAAGGAUCGGCUAACUCCGUGCCAGCAGCCGCGGUAAUACGGAGGAGCCGAGCGUUAUCCGGAUUUAUUGGGUUUACAGGGAGCGUAGAGGGGUUUUUAAGUCAGUUGUGAAAGUUUGCGGCUCCACCGUACAAUUGCAAUUGAUACGGGCAGUCUUGAGUACAUUUGCGGUAGGCGGAAUUCGUGGUGUAGCGG